UCUACUGUAUCUUGCCUAUGCUGCUCUGUACCAUCACUCAUUCAUAUAUCCUUAUGUACAUAUUCCUUAUCCCCUUACACUGUGUAUAAGACAGUAGUUUUUUUGGAAUUGUUAGUUAGAUUACUUGUUCGUUAUUACUGCAUUGUCGGAACUAGAAGCACAAGCAUUUCGCUACACUCGCAUUAACAUCUGCUAACCAUGUGUAUGUGACAAAUAAAAUUUGAUUUGAUUUGAUUUGUAUAUAUACGUAAUAUGACAUCUGUAAUGUCUUUAGUGUUUUGAAACUUCUGUAUGUGUAAUGUUUACUGUAAAUUUGUAUUACUUAUUUCACUUUUGUAUAUUAUCUACCUCACUUGCUUUGGCAAUGUUAACACAUGUUUCCCAUGCCAAUAAAGCCCCUUGAAUUGAAUUGACAUCUAGUGGAAGCCCUAGGAAGUGCAAGCACAUUCAUAUCUAACAGGGAUUUCAAUAGGCACUGUUUUGAAAAUCGAUUUCUCACUUCCUGUUUGGAUUUCUUCUCAGGUUUUUGUCUCCCAUAUGAGUUCUGUUAUACUCACAGACAUCAUUCAAACAGUUUUAGAAACUUCAGAGUGUUUUCCAUCCAAUACUAAUACUAAUAUGCAUAUAUUAGCAUCUGAGACAGAGUAGGAGGUAGUUCAGUUUGGGCACGCUAUUCAUCCAAAAGUGAAAAUGCUGCCCCCUAUUCCAAAAAAGAUGUCCUACCCCUAACUCAGACGACACUGGACCAAUUGUGCACUGCCCUAUGGGACUCCCGAUCACAACCGGUUGUGAUCAAGGCUGGAAUUGAACCAGGGUCUGUAGUGACGCCUCCAGCACUGAGGUGCAGUGCCUUAGACUGCUGCGCCACUCAUGAGCCCAAAAGGUUAGUCAACGGUCUUGGUAAUACAAUACAAAAUGCUAAACUUCUCAUCACACCCAAACUUCAAUUGAACAUGCUCUAGAAGCAAUAACCCUAUGAGCUGUAAAAAAGUUCACUAUGAUCUUUGUUAGGAUGUUUAGUUUGAGUUUCCAUGUCCCUCCAUCCCUGGACACCCAUAACGAUUACAAUGAGAUGUGUUUACUCACUGUGUGAUUGGUGGAGCAGUUCUGAGGAUUUGUCUCUCUGUCUCUCGACUCUCACAGUAGCAGUAAGAGAAGAUGUGAAUACACUCUAUUCUUUAACCUGUCUUCCUUCUCUGAGAAUGCGCGUCAAGAGAAGAAGAGGUAGGUCUCCACCACAUGAACAUCCAGAUCUUGAGGUCAGACUGAUGACAUUGACCAGGUGGAGGUUUAUACCCUGAUGAUGAGAGUUUAGACCUUCGUCAUUCUCAGAUAUAUCCUGGUGUUUCUGAAACUCCAGGUAUUCAGCAGAUGCUUUGUGUCUGCAAAGGUCUCAGUCGGUGUCACUCUCUUGUCCCUUUGCUUUGUGUUAAAUUCUACGAUCUGCACAGUUAAGGCAAAUAUUGCUUUUCUGCUAGGCUCUGGCUCUUCGUUUCCUGCCGCGCUGUUUCCUCACUUUCAUUCCAGUUUGGUUAGUCACUGAGUCUCCCCCUGUCUCCUGUCUGUCUCUCCUCUGUUUCCUAUCUGUCUCCUCUCUUCUGGGUGUGUGUCUGUGGGCUGCUGUGGUGCUGGUGGGUACAGAGAGGCAGCUUGGGAGUGUU
ensembl:lncRNA